rnacentral:rRNA from 1 species
UACGAAGGGGGCUAGCGUUGCUCGGAAUUACUGGGCGUAAAGCGCACGUAGGCGGCUCUUUAAGUCGGAGGUGAAAUCCUGGAGCUCAACUCCAGAACUGCCUUCGAUACUGUAGAGCUUGAGUUCGGGAGAGGUGAGUGGAACUGCGAGUGUAGAGGUGAAAUUCGUAGAUAUUCGCAAGAACACCAGUGGCGAAGGCGGCUCACUGGCCCGAUACUGACGCUGAGGUGCGAAAGCGUGGGAGCAAACAGG